UCGCGCGGUGAACACCUGUGCGCACCGGCACACAGGCAUAAAACAUUUCCCCAUUUCCCGACAGUAAUUUCAGCCAGUUUUAUAGAGAUUCACGGACAGGCAAUUAUGGCAAGCCACUGCCGCACGCGAGAGAAUAUGACAUGACGGUUUUUGACGUUUUUAAAGCGCUCGCGCGGCACAUGCGCCUUAAUAUAAAGCACCUGGAGGGGCUCGCGCUGAUUAGACCCCCAGUAAAGAAGGGUUAAAGUGCCAAAACUGACCUACACUCUCACUCAUACUUAGACAUCCCAAAUGCAGUUUUCGAGUGCGGGAUAUGACUUACAGUCUGUGUUUAGACGGAAAUAUCUGACAUUACCUGAAAGAGAAACUCGAUACGAGAAUGAUAUUCGGAAAGCUCUUGAAGUAGCUACAAACGUCACGUCGCCUGUAGCUCGCGAUGCGCCUCAUGUAGCGCUUCAGCCGAGCACAGUGUUUUGGAUUGAAAUGGUCCAAUUUUGACACACGUGCUUUGCUCAACCGAGUAUCGGCGCUAAGCCCCAUGAUUUCACCUCGUCCUUGAGAGACCAGCGCAAGUCAACCCAAAUAAAACAUCCCGACCCUGUUCACCUCUCCCGGAGGGUCGUUUUCCUUCGAGACACGUGGACGAAGCCGUACACAGCAUUAGGGACUGAAGAGCCACAGCCUCUAUAGAGGGACUCAGACAGGGUGGGAGGAGAUCCCAGCAGGGUUCUGCGAAUCACCAAUGGGUUUGUAGUCUGAAGACGAGCAGCACUCAUCUCUUUCACAUCCUUUGUAGGUAGCAGCGUCCCCUGCGUGGUGGUGCGAUGAAGGGUGUGGGAAGGGACGGGCCUCGCUAAUCAACACGGCAAUCGCAUUUCCAUAUAAACAACCAAAAGCUUGUCUACAUACAUUCCAGUUCCAUAUGAUGUGGGCUUGCCGUCAGGGCUUGUAAUUGCUUCAGUUCGCCGAGUGUUAGAACAGGGCAGAAGAGGACGAGAGAGGCCUCUGGAGAAAUGGAGGAAUAGUCCAAGCAAGAGAUUUUUCAAUGACCUGAGCUCUUCAACGAUCUAGUAUCCGAGUUCACUAAAUCAAUGCUCAGUCAUACAGCAAUAACAAUCCUCCUUUU